UACGGAGGGUGCGAGCGUUAAUCGGAAUUACUGGGCGUAAAGGGUGCGUAGGCGGUUAAUUAAGUUAUCUGUGAAAAUCCCGGGCUUAACCUGGGCAUGUCAGAUGAUACUGGUUAACUUGAGUAUAGGAGAGGGCAGUGGAAUUUCCGGUGUAGCGGUGAAAUGCGUAGAGAUCGGAAGGAACACCAGUGGCGAAGGCGGCUGUCUGGCCUGAUACUGACGCUGAGGCACGAAAGCGUGGAUAGCGAACAGG
rnacentral:rRNA from 1 species